GUCAAAGUAGAUUGUAAAAAGAUAAAAAACAACUAUUUUUUUGGGGGGAAAAAUAAAGCUAAAAUUUUGUGGGGUCAUUGGUCCCCACAUGAAUGUCCCCAUGUCCUUUCAUGCCCAUAGUUGCUAGUAACCAUAGAUAUACAUAUAGGAUUGUGUAUUCGAGGGUCCAAGAAGCAGUUGGACAAUGACCCAGUACUCAUCAUGCACAUUCUGACUACAAGUAUCCGAUGCUUUUUUUGCCAGGGAAAAUUACAUGGAGACAUGUUUUUCAAGUUUCAACUUCAAAAAUCACGUUUUAAGCUUUGUUUUACAAAAAUCAGAUGAUAAUUUAACUUUUUAAUAUUAAAAUAAUAAUAUCAUAAAAUUUAAUUAAUAAACCACCCCCAAAUCGAAAUUUUGCUGAAUUAUAUCGUAUUCCCCCUCUCCCCUCUCUCUCUCCCCACAUUGGCGUUGCAUCACGGUGGAGAGCACUAUUGUGUGCAACGGCGAAGAGCACUAUUACGCCAGAGUGAGAGCCUGAAGUGGCGAUUCUGUCAUAGUUACUCUUUGAGCGGCGUAGUACUCAUUGCUGUUGCUACAUACACCAGGCAUUUUGGGGCUUGUUGCAGUGCAAGGAGGGAUUUGUGUUGGAGAUUCAGGGAUUUUCAUGGGAGGAGCUUAUUGUGCAAUAAUUGAGGUUUGUGGUGUGGAAAUGGGCAGAGGUAGUGAAGUGGUGAUGACGGCCGGUAGUUUUGGUUGUUUUCGCGGCAUUGGCGGAUCGAGAACAUCCUUGCAAAACUGGUAUUCAAUUAUUCCGAUCUUGUCUCACCACGGCCAUGAAAUUGAGUUUGUGGUGAUGGUGGCUUUUGAUUUGAUGUAGAUAUGGUGGUGGUGGUGCUUGUGGAUUGGGGAACAAGUGGUGGUGAUGAUGGUGGCGGUGGUGCUUGUGGCCUAGGUAGUACCUUGCAGGAGGUGAUAUAUUUAAGGUUGUCCACGACAUAUUUAUUGUUGGAUCUUUAACGUGGUGGCAGUGGUGCGGUGAUGUGGGUGGUGGUGGUUAGGAUUUGUUGAAAGUGACGGUGGUGUGCAUUUGGUUGAUGUUGUUGGAGUGGUGGUAGCGACGAUGAAAAUCUAGUAUGAUCGAGUCUAUAUCCAUUGUGAGUGUCCGUGCCAGAUCUAUAAUAAUUGUGACUGUAUGUAACUUGGUUACAUAUAGUCACAAAUUAAAUUGAUAUGGUCACAAAUAGUCAAACUAGAGACAGAAUUGGUCACAAUUAGUCACAGAUAAGAAAGGUCAGUGAAUGUUGUAAAAUUGGAGGUGAAGGUAGUAGUGACUGGUAGUGGAUUGUGGUACUGGGAUACGGUGUGUGAAGAUUUGUUUAUGGUGACUCUUUGAGGUCAAGUAUGUGUUUAUUGUGAAAAUUGUGACUAAUUCUGUAUUAACUGUGAUCGAUUGUGACUUGAUCACAUACUGCCACAGUAAAUAUUGAAUUGGUCACAGACAGUCACACUGAAUACAAAUUUAAUCACAGUUAGUCACAGACAACACAUUUCGGUGACACACUGACUUGGUCAGAGACGAUCUGGCCAUAGUUAGUCACAGAUACACACAAGUAUGGUCACAAACUAUAAAUCUAAUUACAUAUAAAACAAUUAAUUACAAAACCUGUCAACUACAAUAUAACACUACUGCCAUCAUGCAGUACUCAAAAUGUUGUUAACACCUCACCACCACCACCACCAAACAGAUUAACUGCAAUGCAACUUCAUUACCUCCAAUGCAUUAUCUCUGCCAAAAUACAGAUCUAUUUUUUAAACACAGCUCCACCUUACCACCACAACCACCAUCUGUAAAGUUUUGUGUUUGAAUUCUGUUCCUUUGUUUGUUUUAGUUCUUGUGAAUGAAUUUAUUUCUGGUUUGCCACUGGUAUUGAAACAAUGUAGAACCACCCAAAAGAGAAACCUAGAAAAUCUUCUAUUUUAUCUCGUUGGUGAGUGCACUCUUACGUAUUUCAAUUUGACUUUAUUUUCAAGAAAUUAUGUUGUGCUGGGUGUAAUUUAAUUUUGUAAAUUCCUCAAGUGUUUUUCAACAUUAAUUACUUCAAAAUGGGAUCAAUUGUGGUUUUUAUUUUUCUUUAUCAUUACUACAAGGUUCCUUUUAAGAACUUUUAGUAUGCUAAUUUUGUGGGCAAUGAGUUAAUUUAUUUAUAUUUUUUGUAUUACUGCUUCACUUGACAUGUUAAUGUCGAUGAUUCAUAAAGACGGUAUGGGAGAUAUUUCUCAUGGCUUGGGGUGAGAAUUGCAUAUGGGUGGUGUAGAGGUUGAUAGUUCUAUAAUUUAAAUGGAUUUCUUUUUAUAAUAUACAUAUUUUUUGGUGUUGGAUUGCAUCAAUUGAGUCCUUAGUUGAAAAGGGGUGUGCAAUAAAGGCAAGGAAAUGAACAAGCCCUUUCAUUUUGAGUAAAUAAUCAUUGAUUGACUAAGAAUCCUUCUUUGUAUGUUUCAAAUUUGUCUUCAAAUGCAAGAUUUCCCACAAAAUAUAAGGCGGAAUCAACAGGUCAAAGGUGGUGGAGUCGAUGAUGUUGUUUCUUGUAGGUUGGUCGAUAGAUAGAAGCAGUCGAUGAUGAUGGUUUCUUACUCUUUUUUGUCCUUUUUUUCCCUUUAGUUUAUAAAAGGUUUCAAGAAUUUGUUUUAUUUACGUUUCUCUUACUACUUUUAUAGUUAAAACUGAAUUUAUUGAAGAUAUUUCAACCUUUGUAAAUCACUCUCCAUGAGCCUGUACCUAUAGAUUUAUGCCUUGUAUUGAUGGGUAAAGAUAACUUUCUAAUUCUUACAUUUCUAAUUGUAGAUAGUUGGGGGUGACAUAAGUAUUUAUAUCUCAAAUUUCCUUUUUUUCUUUCGGACAGUUGAUUUUAUGGAAGUUCACCGGUUUAUUUAAUAGGAGUCACCUACAAUACCGGUAGAAAUUAGAAGAACAAAUGGAAGGAAUUAGUUGACUGACUUCGCAUCAUAUUACUUGGUAUUGCCCUAAUACUUUUAUUUUGAGCGAACGGUGCAAGUUAUAGUGUAUAAGCCUUGGGAGAUAUUGUGCACUGAUUCUUAAGCAGGAUUUCAGCAAGGGAUAUGAUGGAAAGGAUGUUGUGCAAAAUCUACGCCAAGCUUGCUUUUUAAGAUAGCCAAUAAAAGUGGAAAACUAUGGCUUGAGUGGGAUUAUGUCGCAUAUUUUGCAAUCUGCUAUCCUAUGAAGGAGAACAAAUACAGUAAAGAUUGUGUAGAUGAAGUAAUCCGUUCACUUUGUAUGUUACAAUUCCUGUUUAUCAAUGUUUUAAUCAACCAACAAAAAAAAAAUUAAAUUAAAUUAAAGCAUGCAGUAUAAUGUAUGUUUACAUGAAUAUUCAUUUUCAUUUUGUAGAUGAGUUGAUGUGACCAAAAUCCUGUAUACUAUAAUGGAUACCAACAUUAACCAUACUGCAUCAUUUUAUUAUCACUAAGUGUCGUCAUUUGUCACUGUUUUAUUUUAAUUAUUUAAUUUUUUUCUCUUUUGAGAAUGAGAAAUCACAUCCAUUGUUCUUAAAUUGUUAGUUAACUACAAGGCUUAGGGAUUUAACAGUUAUGGCUGCUUAGAGUAAGCUGGAUGGUUGUUUACUGCUGUAGUAAUGGUUUUUUCCUAUUCGUAUUGCUUGUAGUUCUUGAAAUUAUGUUGAUUGAUGUGUAUUUAUCACCCUUAAAUUUUAAUUUCAUCUAAAUGCCUGCUGUAUCUUAUAAUGAGUUGUAUCCGUGUGAAACUGGUGACAUGGAUUAACCUUGGAUUUCGAUCAUAUUUCAUACAUUAUCGAUCAUCUAAAUGCUUGUAACCUGCUAGCUGGAAGUUGCAAUUGAAGGUGAGAUGGGGGAAGGUAUGAAAAUGAAGCUCUCAUCUCUCUAUUUUUAGAUGAUGAAAAGAUUACAAAAUCAGUUAAUAUCUUUGCAGAAUAUGGUAUCGCUAGAUAAAUAGAAGAUGUCAUAAUCUUCUAGAAUGUCAAAAAUAGAUGGCAUGGUUAAUAGACUUCACAUGAUGGUCUUUAAGCACCAAUGUUCCCAUCAAAUCUGCUCAAGAUACUAUUGACAUGCUAAAAAAUCAUUACCCUGAAAGACUAGCCAUGGAAUUUUUUACAAACCCCCAUGUAUAUUUGAAGCAUUUUGGAAGGUUUUCCAUUUUCCUUUUAUAAUCAUUGAUUUUAUUUUCUGAUCUUUAGGUAAUGAGAGAGUAGACUUUGCAUUAUGGGUUUCUUUUUUGUUGGAUUACAUGGGAUAACUGAAGCAUUCUUUUACAACGGUUAGAAUCAUCUUUUUAGUCGUGGUUUACUUCGUGAGGAAGGGAAUAUGUUGGAUUAGAACUUAGGACUAUACUACAUUAAAUUAAUUUUGUAUGUGCAGAUCUCAGUUAGGAAAUUUUACGUUUUUAUACUACAAUUUAUUCAUUUUCAUUAGGUAAAGAAUUGACCUUUCCUCCAUACUAAUUUAGAAAUGCUCUUUUAUUGCAGGUUGUAAAAUACUUUUUGAAUGCAAAAUCAUUCUAGAAUGUAAAUUUCUCUACCCAAAAAACAAAGAAAAUCAUGAGAUCCUAUUUUGAUGUAGACAAUCUUCCAGCUGAGUUCAGAGGUAAAGUCGUACUGGCUUUACUACAACCACGUGGAUAAAGCUUGAGAACAGUGUAAAAACAGUAGGUAUUGUAUUACUCCUGUUAUAGAUCUAUACGCAUAUUAGAGUUAAUGUUUAUCCAUCACUUCAAAUGCACUUUAUGAUAUGCAUUAUCUUUCAGUUACUUUGGCUGUACUUGGUGAGAAGACCGCAGUUAUGUCACCUAAAAUACUUGUUAAUGCCGUUGUUCCAUGCUGCAAACAGCAAUUUAAUAUGGUAUCUUAUUCUUUUAUAUUGUUUGCUCGCUACAACUUAAUUUCACUCGCUUCAGGAAGAGGCCCACAUUGCCAAAUUCUCUUAUUUUCUGCUACUCUUAGACUAUGUUAUGUAUUCUUUCACCAAUUUAAGAAAUUAAACAAAGGUAAACUGAGUUAUAUAUAACCGAUGGAGCAGCUCUCAUCCAGCCUAUUAAAUUCAACCUUCCUCCAAUGUUGCCUCCAUCAUUUCUCUGAUCAACCUGUACUGUGCUCCUGAUUAAUAGAUCCCUGUGGAGCUUCAAAACCUCACUCUUUUUCAUAUAUUCACAACAAAAUUUAUGCUAUUUCUUCAACAAGUCUUGAGUUCCUACAUGGGCACAAAAUCGUUAUCAACAAAGCCAUCUUCAUUGCAGAUAGAAGCCCACAAAAUGACCAAUGAAGAAGUCUCAAAGCAUUGCAUUGGUGGGGUACCGCAUCACCUGUACCUACUAUGGUUAUUGAAGCUUUUAGAGAAAGCAUUGAUGCUCACAUGACUUUUGAUG
rnacentral:lncRNA from 1 species